AUUGAACGCUGGCGGCAGGCCUAACACAUGCAAGUCGAGCGGUAACAGGGGAAGCUUGCUUCUCGCUGACGAGCGGCGGACGGGUGAGUAAUGUCUGGGGAUCUGCCCGAUGGAGGGGGAUAACUACUGGAAACGGUAGCUAAUACCGCAUAACGUCGCAAGACCAAAGUGGGGGACCUUCGGGCCUCACACCAUCGGAUGAACCCAGAUGGGAUUAGCUAGUAGGCGGGGUAAAGGCCCACCUAGGCGACGAUCUCUAGCUGGUCUGAGAGGAUGACCAGCCACACUGGAACUGAGACACGGUCCAGACUCCUACGGGAGGCAGCAGUGGGGAAUAUUGCACAAUGGGGGAAACCCUGAUGCAGCCAUGCCGCGUGUAUGAAGAAGGCCUUCGGGUUGUAAAGUACUUUCAGCGAGGAGGAAGGCAUUAAGGUUAAUAACCUUGGUGAUUGACGUUACUCGCAGAAGAAGCACCGGCUAACUCCGUGCCAGCCGCCGCCGUAAAAC
rnacentral:rRNA from 1 species